UACGUAGGGACCGAGCGUUGUCCGGAUUCAUUGGGCGUAAAGAGCUCGUAGGCGGUUCGUCGCGUCGGCUGUGAAAACCCGAGGCUCAACCUCGGGCCUGCAGUCGAUACGGGCGGACUGGAGUUCGGCAGGGGAGACUGGAAUUCCUGGUGUAGCGGUGAAAUGCGCAGAUAUCAGGAGGAACACCGGUGGCGAAGGCGGGUCUCUGGGCCGAUACUGACGCUGAGGAGCGAAAGCGUGGGGAGCGAACAGG
rnacentral:rRNA from 1 species